AUAGGACAGCACUAGCCUUUUAAGCUAGAAAAAGAGAACUCCGCCCCUCCUUAGUGA
rnacentral:tRNA from 1 species